UGAACGCUGGCGGCGUGCCUAAUACAUGCAAGUCGAGCGAACGGACGAGAAGCUUGCUUCUCUGAUGUUAGCAGCGGACGGGUGAGUAACACGUGGAUAACCUACCUAUAAGACUGGGAUAACUUCGGGAAACCGGAGCUAAUACCGGAUAAUAUUUUGAACCGCAUGGUUCAAAAGUGAAAGACGGUCUUGCUGUCACUUAUAGAUGGAUCCGCGCUGCAUUAGCUAGUUGGUAAGGUAACGGCUUACCAAGGCAACGAUGCAUAGCCGACCUGAGAGGGUGAUCGGCCACACUGGAACUGAGACACGGUCCAGACUCCUACGGGAGGCAGCAGUAGGGAAUCUUCCGCAAUGGGCGAAAGCCUGACGGAGCAACGCCGCGUGAGUGAUGAAGGUCUUCGGAUCGUAAAACUCUGUUAUUAGGGAAGAACAUAUGUGUAAGUAACUGUGCACAUCUUGACGGUACCUAAUCAGAAAGCCACGGCUAACUACGUG
rnacentral:rRNA from 1 species